GCAUCAGUGGUCUAACGGUUAUGAUGCGACCUUCCCACCGGAUAUCCAAUGGCAGUCAGGUCGCGAACGGGGUUCGACUCCCCGCUGAUGCA